AGGUCUGACCUGCCCAGUGAUAUUAAUUAAAUGGCCGCAGUAUUUUGACUGUGCAAAGGUAGCGUAAUCAUUAGUUUUUUAAUUGAAAGCUUGUAUGAAUGGUCGGACGAGGUAUACACUGUCUUUAAAUAAUUUAUUGUAGAAUUUAACUUUUAAGUAAAAAGGCUUAAAUUAAACUAAUAGACGAGAAGACCCUAUAGAUCUUUAUAAGUUAAUUAUUAAUUAUGUAAGGGGCAUUUAUUAAUUAAUAAUGAAAUUUAUUUUAUUGGGGUAAUAUAAAGAUUAAAAGAAUUCUUUGAAAUAUAAACAAGAAUGAUUGGUUAAUUGAUCCAUUAAUAUUGAUUAUAAGAUUAAGUUACCUUAGGGAUAACAGCGUAAUUUUUUUAGAGAGUUCAUAUCGAUAAAAAAGUUUGCGACCUCGAUGUUGGACUAAAAAUUAUUUCGGGUGCAGAAGUUCGAAGAUUUGGUCUG
rnacentral:rRNA from 1 species